AUUGAACGCUGGCGGAAUGCUUUACACAUGCAAGUCGAGCGGCAGCGCGGGGGCAACCCUGGCGGCGAGCGGCGAACGGGUGAGUAACAUAUCGGAACGUACCCCGUCGUGGGGGAUAACACAGCGAAAGCUGUGCUAAUACCGCAUACGACCUGAGGGUGAAAGCGGGGGAUCGCAAGACCUCGCGCGAUGGGAGCGGCCGAUAUCGGAUUAGCUUGUUGGUGAGGUAAAGGCUCACCAAGGCGACGAUCCGUAGCUGGUCUGAGAGGACGACCAGCCACACUGGAACUGAGACACGGUCCAGACUCCUACGGGAGGCAGCAGUGGGGAAUUUUGGGACAAUGGGGGCAACCCUGAUCCAGCCAUUCCGCGUGAGUGAAGAAGGCCUUCGGGUUG
rnacentral:rRNA from 1 species